UACUCAUUCCAUUGGCUAUCAUGUGAAGGGGUGGGGCCUAGCCGGGCCAAUGAGCAGUGGAGUCUGCUUAGGUCAUCCUUCCCCUUGGCAGCAGGAGACUGUUCCCUGCCCAGACAGGCCAAGCCCUUGCCUGGCAGACUUCCCACCUAGAGGCUGGCUCCAGAGGAACAUCCAGCUCUCACCCAUAGCCUACUGAAGACAACACUUGCCCAGGAUUCGUGAGAACCUUGUGUGGAACCCAGAUCACAUCUUUUUAAGCUUACAACUCUGGGACCAUGGCCCUGAGACCAUGACAUGAGCUGAAAUCGAGAGUCGGACGCUCAACUAACUGAGCCACCCAGGUGCCCUUGUAACAAGUUUUUAAAGGCUCAAAGAAAUGAUCAACAAACUUCCAAAUGAGAUUGGCCUAUACAAGAUUUUUCAUAACAGCAGCACUAUUCGCAUUUGGUGACAGCUAAUCUUUGUUGUGGGGGAAUGCCUGUGCGUUGUCGUAUAUUUAGUAGCCUGCCUCUAACACAAGAUGCCAGGAGCAGCCCUCUCAUCAACCGUAACAACAAAAAAUGUCUCUAAACAUUGGCAAAUUGUCUGGGAAAAGGAAACAAAGUCAGCUCCCGAUGAGAACUACUGAUCAAUACAGAUAUAUCCCUCCUUCCUUGAAAGAGCAAAACAUUGUUCAAAGAAACAAAAAACCCACAUGGUUAAACACUAGAAGCAGAGAAAUAUGGCUAUAGUUGAGAUCUAAGUUGGAGACUGAUGCGGGAAUAGAAUAAAACCAUCAAUUAAAGCAAAUCAGUAAUAUAGUUCUGAAUAUUCACCUAAGGAAUUUGGAUUUUGUUUUUUAGGCAACAGAAAGUGAUUACAGGAGUUUUAGAAAGUGAUACAAUUAGAUUUUCAUUUUAAGAACAGCUUCUUGAUAUUAGAGACAGGAUUGAAAAGACAAUAGCUAUCACAAACUCUGAGAUGGUCAUUAGGUGAAAUAAAGCCAAGGAGGCAGAAGGGAAUGAAUGGAUCAUGCCUACAUCUCACGUAUGCUUUGAGUUGAUUUUCAGUUUCCAUAUUAACAUUGCCAUGGGUGGCUUCCCUCAGGUGUGUCUGUUAUCUUUUCAGAAUACUUUCACUUUAUACAUCAUGGGUUUUUUUGGUCUUUUGUGUUAUCUGUUACCAGUUCCCAGCAUAUUCCACUCCCCUCCUUCUCUAUUUCCUCUUCACGCAGACUCUCGCAUUUUCCAAAGGAACAUCACAGAAUCUGACCUGCCACCCCCAGGGCACACAUAUCAGAGGAGCUUAGUCCCAUUUGACUGAGUAUCCUUUGAGUCUCCCAGGAAAAUAGUAAAAUAAACUUGGGGUCUAGUGGUCAGAUCCCAUGCAUUCAGAAUUACUAUGUUCUCGAGAAUGGGGCAGAGUCAAAAGCCUGUGUCAACUUCUCCAUAGGGUGCCUUUGGUGGGCAGGAAACACAUCUGAAAGGAAGAGCAGCCUAUAGUAUAGGACAUAUAGUCGAGGAUACAGGCAACAAUUGAUUGUCUGAUAGACAAAUCUACAUUGUCUUUCUCAUUUCUUCUUGUAUUAUCAACAAAAUAAAAUGUUAUAUACUUGAAAAUUAGCAACAAUUGAUUGAUAGACAAAUCUACAUUUUCUUUCUCAUUUCUUCUUAUAUUAUUGACAAAAUAAAAUGUUAUAUACUUGAAAAUUAGCAACAAUUGAUUGAUCAACAAAUCUACAUUUUCUUUCUCAUUUCUUCUUAUAUU